GCCGGUGCGGUGGGGGCGCGCGCCUUGUAAUCCAAGUUACGGGAGGCUGAGCGGAUCGGCGCGAUCGCUUGAGCUCAGGGGACGCUCUGGAGCUGCCAGCGCGACUAUGUCGAUGGGUGUGUCGCACUAAAGUUCUGGUAUCGACUAUGGUGCUCCUGGGGGGCCCGGGACCACCAGGUGUCUAAGGAGGGGUGCACCGGCCCAGGUUCGAAACAAGGCAAGCGCAGGUCAAAGCCCCCGUGCCGCUCUAGUUAUUGGGGAUUUCGCGCCUGUGAAAUAGACGCUUUUGUAGUGCAGCCUGAGUAACACAGGGCGGGGACCCAGUCUUU
rnacentral:SRP_RNA from 1 species